GUUUAAUAAUUUAUUUAAUUUUUUUUUUACAUGUAAAUUUUAGUGGGAAUAUAAUAAUAAUUUUAAUAAUUAUUAUUAAAGAUUUUAUUCGCAGUAUAAAAUUUUAUAAAUUUAAGAAAUUAAGAAUUAUAAAUAAAUUUUAAUAUUAACAAAAUUUGUGCCAGCAGUUGCGGUUAUACAAAAAAUAUAAAUAAAUUUUAUUAGUAAAUAAUAAAAUGAAUUUAAUUUAAUAAAAAUAAAAUUUAUAAAGUGAAAUUUAAAAUUUUAAAUAAUUAUAAUUAAAAUUAUUGAUAUUAUGAAAUUUAUAGUUUAAACUAGGAUUAGAUACCCUAUUAUUAUAAAUGUUAAUUUUUACUAAAGUAGUAUUAGUUAUGAUCUUGAAAUUUAAAAAUUUUGGCGGUAUUUUAGUCUAUUCAGAGGAACCUGUUCUAUAAUUGAUAGUCCACGAUAAAUUAUACUUUAUUUUUAAUAGUUUAUAUAUCGUCGUUAUAAAAUAUUUUAUUAGAAUUAUAAUAUUUAAGAUUUUUAAUUAAAAAAUAUAUCAGAUCAAGGUGUAGUUUAUAAUAAAGAAGAAAUGGGUUACAAUAAAUAUAUUUAUGGAUUUUUAUAUAAAAAUAUGGAAUGAAAUUGGAUUUGAUAGUAAUAAAUUUUAUAUUUAAUUUAUGAUUUAAGCUCUAAAAUGUGUACAUAUCGCCCGUCACUCUUAUUAUAAGAUAAGAUAAGUCGUAACAUAGUAGAUGUACUGGAAAGUGUAUCUAGAAUGAC
rnacentral:ncRNA from 1 species